rnacentral:rRNA from 1 species
AUUGAACGCUGGCGGCAUGCUUUACACAUGCAAGUCGAACGGUAACAGGCCUUCGGGUGCUGACGAGUGGCGAACGGGUGAGUAAUGCAUCGGAACGUACCCAGAGGUGGGGGAUAACGCAGCGAAAGCUGUGCUAAUACCGCAUGUGAUCUGAGGAUGAAAGCGGGGGACCGAGCAGCAAUGUUUGGCCUCGCGCCUUUGGAGCGGCCGAUGUCGGAUUAGCUAGUUGGUGGGGUAAAGGCCUACCAAGGCGACGAUCCGUAGCUGGUCUGAGAGGACGACUAGCCACACUGGGACUGAGACACGGCCCAGACUCCUACGGGAGGCAGCAGUGGGGAAUUUUGGACAAUGGGCGCAAGCCUGAUCCAGCAAUGCCGCGUGCGGGAAGAAGGCCUUCGGGUUGUAAACCGCUUUUGGCAGGAACGAAACGGUGUCCGCUAAUACCGGGCGCUAAUGACGGUACCUGCAGAAUAAGCACCGGCUAACUACGUG